AUCAAUUGUUGAAGCCACGCGCACCGGAUUUGAUCGAUCUAGGCUUGUGAUCUAAUUUCUAAUCUCUUUGAGACAAUUCACCAAACAUAUUGCAGGCAUAAAUAAACAAAGACAAAGAAACCAAGAUUUACGUAGUUCGGCACAAGAGGCCUACAUCCACGGGGAGGAGGAGCAAUCCACUAUAAAUCCGUCCCGAAAAAUAGGUACAAUAUGAGGUAUAAAAUAUCUUUAUCCAAAACCAACAAGAAGGCAACAGAGUAUC
rnacentral:lncRNA from 1 species